rnacentral:rRNA from 1 species
GAACGAAGCAUAGGAGUGGAAUUUUUCGGAAGGAAACAACUAUGACUGAGUGGCGGACGGGUGAGUAACGCGUGGGUAACCUGCCUCAUACAGGGGGAUAACAGUUAGAAAUGACUGCUAAUACCGCAUAAGCGCACAAAACCGCAUGGUUUGGUGUGAAAAACUGAGGUGGUAUGAGAUGGACCCGCGUCUGAUUAGCUAGUUGGAGAGGUAACGGCUCACCAAGGCAACGAUCAGUAGCCGACCUGAGAGGGUGACCGGCCACAUUGGGACUGAGACACGGCCCAAACUCCUACGGGAGGCAGCAGUGGGGAAUAUUGCACAAUGGGGGAAACCCUGAUGCAGCAACGCCGCGUGAGUGAAGAAGUAUUUCGGUAUGUAAAGCUCUAUCAGCAGGGAAGAAGAGAGACGGUACCUGACUAAGAAGCCCCGGCUAACUACGUGCCAGCAGCCGCGGUAAUACGUAGGGGGCAAGCGUUAUCCGGAUUUACUGGGUGUAAAGGGAGCGUAGACGGCUUGAUAAGUCUGAAGUGAAAGGCCAAGGCUUAACCAUGGAACUGCCCCCCCCCCUCUGAGGCUAGAGUGCUGGAGAGGUAAGCGGAAUUCCUAGUGUAGCGGUGAAAUGCGUAGAUUUUAGGGGGAACACCAGUGGCGAAGGCGGCUUACUGGACAGAAACUGACGUUGAGGCUCGAAA